rnacentral:rRNA from 1 species
UGGGGAAUUUUGGACAAUGGGGGCAACCCUGAUCCAGCCAUCCCGCGUGUGCGAUGAAGGCCUUCGGGUUGUAAAGCACUUUUGGCAGGGAAGAAACAGCCUGGGCUAAUAUCCCGGGCGACUGACGGCACCUGGAGAAGAAGCACCGGCCAACUACGUGCCAGCAGCCGCGGUAAUACGUAGGGUGCGAGCGUUGUCCGGAAUUACUGGGCGUAAAGAGCACGUAGGCGGUUUGUCGCGUCGUCUGUGAAAUUCUGCAACUCAAUUGCAGGCGUGCAGGCGAUACGGGCAGACUUGAGUACUACAGGGGAGACUGGAAUUCCUGGUGUAGCGGUGAAAUGCGCAGAUAUCAGGAGGAACACCGGUGGCGAAGGCGGGUCUCUGGGUAGUAACUGACGCUGAGGAGCGAAAGCGUGGGGAGCGAACA